rnacentral:rRNA from 1 species
GACGUAGGGCGCGAGCGUUGUCCGGAUUUAUUGGGCGUAAAGAGCUCGUAGGCGGCUUGUCGCGUCGUCCGUGAAAACCACAGCUCAACUGUGGGCUUGCGGUCGAUACGGGCAGGCUAGAGUUCGGUAGGGGGAGACUGGAAUUCCUGGUGUAGCGGUGAAAUGCGGCAGAUAUCAGGGAGGAACACCGGUGGCGAAGGCGGGUCUCUGGGCCGAUGACUGACGCUGAGGAGCGAAAGCGUGGGGAGCGAACAGG